rnacentral:rRNA from 1 species
AAUAGCCUAACGGUUGAACCAGCAACUUGGAAGAAUGUAUAGCUAAAGCUAUAUGUUUUUUGUAAAAAAAACAUAUUUGAUUUAUUCGUAUAAAGUUCUAGGUAGAAUUAUGAUAAUGACAUUAUCUAUCUAUAAGUCUUGACCAACAUGCGUGCCAGCAGUCGCGGUAAGACGCUAAAGACAAGUGUUAUUCAUAUUUAAUCGGUUUAAAGGGUACCUAGACGGUAAAUCAAGCCUUAAGGGGACUAAUUUAACUAGAGUUAGAUGUAAGGGUGCAAUAACGUACUAUUGAGUGUAGAGAUGAAAUUCUUUGAUACCAGAUCAUUGGCACGGGUUUCGGCGAAAGCAUCACCUUAUGUAAUAACUGACGUUGAGGGACGAAGGCUUAGUGUAGCGAAAAGGAUUAGAUACCCUUGUAGUCUAAGCAGAAAAUGAUGAAUGUCAUAGGUUAAAUAUGACCUAUUUAGUCUAUAAAUGAAAGUGUAAGCAUUCCACCUCAGGAGUAAUUUGGCAACAUUGGAAUUGAAAUCAUUAGACCGUAUCUGAAACCAGUAGUGAAGUAUGUUGUUUAAUUAGAUAGUACACAAAAAACCUUACCACAACUUGAAUAUUUUACAAGCGUUGCACGGCUGUCUUCAGUUAAUGUCGUGAGAUUGUGGUUAGUUCCAUAUAAUUAACGUAAACCCUUACUUUAUUUUAUUUUAUAUAAAGUAGUUCGCCGUUAUAUUGGUUAGAUAAUAGGGAGUAUGACAAGUCAUCAUGGCCUUCAUGUUGU